UACGUAGGUGGCGAGCGUUGUCCGGAUUUACUGGGCGUAAAGAGCGCGCAGGCGGUCGUACAAGUCGCGUGUGAAAGCCCCCGGCUCAACUGGGGAGGGUCACGCGAUACUGUUCGACUCGAAGGCAGGAGAGGGUAGUGGAAUUUCCGGUGUAGCGGUGAAAUGCGUAGAGAUCGGAAGGAACACCAGUGGCGAAGGCGGCUACCUGGACAGCUACUGACACUGAGGCGCGAGAGCGUGGGGAGCAAACAGG
rnacentral:rRNA from 1 species